GUAAGGGUGAACCCUCUGGCAGUGGAUAUGUGCAGGUGCACAUGCAGGUGCAUGCUGUGGCCUGCAUCCUUCCAUGGGUCCUGCAGGUCAGCGUUGAUGUGCCUGGCUCUGUCCCUGAAGGGGUCUGCCCUGUGACCCCAAGAUAGGACUGCCUCUAUGCUUCUGUCCGGCUUUGGUUAAUUAGGGACUUCAAUGCCUGGAUCCACAGGCUGAAUGUGCCUGACCCGGCCAUGGCUUCAGACCGGUGGUUGGAAGAAGCCCCUCUCCAUCCUGAGAGACAGUUUUCCAAACACAAGAAACCAGAAAACCUUAUCAGGAACUCAUUUUUAGACUUAUCUUUGAUUAUGGAAAAUGCUUUUUAAAAAAUCUCAAAUGAAGUAAUUUUAAAGGAUACACAUAUUCUUACAUUUGUGUAAAUAUUUUAAACACAAUAUUACAUUUUUUAAAGAGAUAGAUGCCUAAUACUGCAGAAUCAUGCGUGGUAAUGAUAUACACCAACUUUAACAUGAGUACCACAUAAGAGGGAGAUGGAGGAAUGUGUAAGGAUGAGACGUUAACCUGUGAAGCUUUAAGUUAAUGCAAUGAGAGAUCUACAGCCAAUAUGUAAACUUAUUGUCAUCAGUUGAAUCUGAAUACUGGCUACAUAAUGAUUGUAAGAUUUUGGAAUUCUCUUUACAUUUUAAAACUCAUAAUUAAAAAGAAAUAAGUAUAUCUUCAGUUUUACACAUUAUAGCUUGAAUUAAAUAUGCCACGUAGACAUCUCAAUGGAAGCAGAAGAAAUUAUUUUAUAAAAUAAAACGCAAAUUAGAAAUUAAAAAUUCUGGGUAAAUAAGUGGAGAAUUAUAUUUUAGCACUGGAG
rnacentral:lncRNA from 1 species